rnacentral:tRNA from 1 species
UUGCAAAGUAAUAAUUUACACUCAGUUUCGACCUGACUAUUAGGCUAAUGAUCCUAGCCUGCAAG